rnacentral:rRNA from 1 species
UACAGAGGGGGCAAGCGUUGUUCGGAAUUACUGGGCGUAAAGGGCGCGUAGGCGGCCUGUUAAGUCAGACGUGAAAUCCCUCGGCUCAACCGGGGAACUGCGUCUGAUACUGGCGGGCUUGAAUUCGGGAGAGGGGUGUGGAAUUCCAGGUGUAGCGGUGAAAUGCGUAGAUAUCUGGAGGAACACCGGUGGCGAAGGCGGCAUCCUGGACCGACAUUGACACUGAGGAGCGAAAGCCAGGGGAGCAAACGGG